rnacentral:rRNA from 1 species
AUUAAUAAGCGGAGGAAAAGAAACCAACCGGGAUUCCCCGAGUAGGGGCGACUGAAACGGGAAGAGCCCAGCGCAUAACCUCGCGGCCGUUGGCGGCCGUCGAGGGGUGUUGCGUUUCGGUGGAUCCGUCCCGCUCGUUCCGCUGACCGCCUAAGUCAUUGCUUGAAAGCAGCCCCAGGGAGGGUGAUAGGCCCGUGUGGCGGCGCCCGUAAAAAGGGCAGUAGGAGGCGGGGCGGGCGGAGGGAUGUUCACCGUAGAGUCGGGUUGCCUAGUAUUGCAGCCCUAAGCAGGUGGUAAACUCCAUCUAAGGCUAAAUACUGCCACGAGUCCGAUAGCGAACAAGUACCGUGAGGGAAAGUU